UGACUUACAAGCCCUCAAGGGGAAGCAUUUUCUCCUGGACUCCUUGAUGCCGGAGCUGCUGGUGUUUCCCGCCCAGACAGAUCUGCAUGAACACCCACUGUACCGGGCCGGACACCUCAUUCUGCAGGACAGGGCCAGCUGUCUCCCAGCCAUGCUGCUGGACCCCUGCCAGGCUCCCAUGUCAUCGAUGCCUGUGCCGCCCCAGGCAAUAAGACCAGUCACUUGGCUGCUCUUCUGAAGAACCAAGGGAAGAUCUUUGCCUUUGACCUGGAUGCCAAGCGGCUGGCAUCCAUGGCCACGCUGCUGGCCUGGGUUGGCGUCUCCUGCUGUGAGCUGGCUGAGGAGGACUUCCUGGCGGUCUCCCCCUUAGAUCCGCGCUAUCGUGAGGUCCACUAUGUCCUGCUGGAUCCUUCCUGCAGUGGCUCGGGUGAGAUGGUGAGAAGGCGUGGCUGAGGGACUCGGAGGUCCACAGCAGCUUAGACCUGGAGUCAUCUGUUUUGGUCUUAGUUCUGACACUUUAAUGGGCUUGGGACCCUGGAGCAAAAGUUCUCCUCUGUGAGGCAAGGAUUUCAGGAGCGAGGAUUUCAGGACUGAGGCAGCCUGUGAAGCUGUGUAACCGAGACACGCUUUUCCUUAGGUAUGCCGAGCAGACAGCUGGAGGAUCCCGGGGCAGGGACACCUAGCCCGGUGCGUCUGCAUGCCCUGGCAGGGUUCCAGCAGCGAGCCCUGUGCCACGCGCUCACUUUCCCUUCCCUGCAGCGGCUCGUCUACUCCAUGUGCUCCCUCUGCCAGGAGGAGAAUGAAGACAUGGUACCAGAUGCGCUGCAGCAGAACCCGGGCGCCUUCAGGCUAGCUCCCGCCCUGCCUGCCCGGCCCCACCGAGGCCUGAGCACGUUCCCGGGUGCCGAGCACUGCCUCCGGGCUUCCCCCAAGACCACGCUUAGCGGUGGCUUCUUCGUUGCUGUAAUUGAACGGGUCGAGAUGCCGAUGUGAGUGAGUGGGGGCAUGCUUGGGAGGCGCAGGAUGGUACUGGCACAUCUAACAUCUACACUUCUCUAGCUCAGCCUCACAGGCCAAAGCAUCAGCACCAGAACGCACACCCAGCCCAGCCCCAAAGAGAAAGAAGAGACAGCAAAGAGCCGCAGCCGGUGCUUGCACACCGCCUUGCACAUAGCAGAGGCUCCAGGCUGACUCCUUCCUGGUGGGAAAGGAAGAUGCCUGUCCUCUCCGUGGAGGACCCUGGGCCCUCACCGCAGGCAGCAGUUUGCAUUUUGAAAGGUUAUUGGGUCCCUUCCUCGGGCUGUGUUCUUGCUGGUGAGCAAAAGUGUUGCCUGCAGAAAUAAAAUGCAGAACGUACUCUA
rnacentral:lncRNA from 1 species